AGCGACUUAUAUUCUGUAGCAAGGUUAACCGAAUAGGGGAGCCGAAGGGAAACCGAGUCUUAACUGGGCGUUAAGUUGCAGGGUAUAGACCCGAAACCCGGUGAUCUAGCCAUGGGCAGGUUGAAGGUUGGGUAACACUAACUGGAGGACCGAACCGACUAAUGUUGAAAAAUUAGCGGAUGACUUGUGGCUGGGGGUGAAAGGCCAAUCAAACCGGGAGAUAGCUGGUUCUCCCCGAAAGCUAUUUAGGUAGCGCCUCGUGAAUUCAUCUCCGGGGGUAGAGCACUGUUUCGGCAAGGGGGUCAUCCCGACUUACCAACCCGAUGCAAACUGCGAAUACCGGAGAAUGUUAUCACGGGAGACACACGGCGGGUGCUAACGUCCGUCGUGAAGAGGGAAACAACCCAGACCGCCAGCUAAGGUCCCAAAGUCAUGGUUAAGUGGGAAACGAUGUGGGAAGGCCCAGACAGCCAGGAUGUUGGCUUAGAAGCAGCCAUCAUUUAAAGAAAGCGUAAUAGCUCACUGGUCGAGUCGGCCUGCGCGGAAGAUGUAACGGGGCUAAACCAUGCACCGAAGCUGCGGCAGCGACGCUUAUGCGUUGUUGGGUAGGGGAGCGUUCUGUAAGCCUGGAAGGUGUGCUGUGAGGCAUGCUGGAGGUAUCAGAAGUGCGAAUGCUGACAUAAGUAACGAUAAAGCGGGUGAAAAGCCCGCUCGCCGGAAGACCAAGGGUUCCUGUCCAACGUUAAUCGGGGCAGGGUGAGUCGACCCCUAAGGCGAGGCCGAAAGGCGUAGUCGAUGGGAAACAGGUUAAUAUUCCUGUACUUGGUGUUACUGCGAAGGGGGGACGGAGAAGGCUAUGUUGGCCGGGCGACGGUUGUCCCGGUUUAAGCGUGUAGGCUGGUUUUCCAGGCAAAUCCGGAAAAUCAAGGCUGAGGCGUGAUGACGAGGCACUACGGUGCUGAAGCAACAAAUGCCCUGCUUCCAGGAAAAGCCUCUAAGCAUCAGGUAACAUCAAAUCGUACCCCAAACCGACACAGGUGGUCAGGUAGAGAAUACCAAGGCGCUUGAGAGAACUCGGGUGAAGGAACUAGGCAAAAUGGUGCCGUAACUUCGGGAGAAGGCACGCUGAUAUGUAGGUGAAGUCCCUCGCGGAUGGAGCUGAAAUCAGUCGAAGAUACCAGCUGGCUGCAACUGUUUAUUAAAAACACAGCACUGUGCAAACACGAAAGUGGACGUAUACGGUGUGACGCCUGCCCGGUGCCGGAAGGUUAAUUGAUGGGGUUAGCGCAAGCGAAGCUCUUGAUCGAAGCCCCGGUAAACGGCGGCCGUAACUAUAACGGUCCUAAGGUAGCGAAAUUCCUUGUCGGGUAAGUUCCGACCUGCACGAAUGGCGUAAUGAUGGCCAGGCUGUCUCCACCCGAGACUCAGUGAAAUUGAACUCGCUGUGAAGAUGCAGUGUACCCGCGGCAAGACGGAAAGACCCCGUGAACCUUUACUAUAGCUUGACACUGAACAUUGAGCCUUGAUGUGUAGGAUAGGUGGGAGGCUUUGAAGUGUGGACGCCAGUCUGCAUGGAGCCGACCUUGAAAUACCACCCUUUAAUGUUUGAUGUUCUAACGUUGACCCGUAAUCCGGGUUGCGGACAGUGUCUGGUGGGUAGUUUGACUGGGGCGGUCUCCUCCUAAAGAGUAACGGAGGAGCACGAAGGUUGGCUAAUCCUGGUCGGACAUCAGGAGGUUAGUGCAAUGGCAUAAGCCAGCUUGACUGCGAGCGUGACGGCGCGAGCAGGUGCGAAAGCAGGUCAUAGUGAUCCGGUGGUUCUGAAUGGAAGGGCCAUCGCUCAACGGAUAAAAGGUACUCCGGGGAUAACAGGCUGAUACCGCCCAAGAGUUCAUAUCGACGGCGGUGUUUGGCACCUCGAUGUCGGCUCAUCACAUCCUGGGGCUGAAGUAGGUCCCAAGGGUAUGGCUGUUCGCCAUUUAAAGUGGUACGCGAGCUGGGUUUAGAACGUCGUGAGACAGUUCGGUCCCUAUCUGCCGUGGGCGCUGGAGAACUGAGGGGGGCUGCUCCUAGUACGAGAGGACCGGAGUGGACGCAUCACUGGUGUUCGGGUUGUCAUGCCAAUGGCACUGCCCGGUAGCUAAAUGCGGAAGAGAUAAGUGCUGAAAGCAUCUAAGCACGAAACUUGCCCCGAGAUGAGUUCUCCCUGACUCCUUGAGAGUCCUGAAGGAACGUUGAAGACGACGACGUUGAUAGGCCGGGUGUGUAAGCGCAGCGAUGCGUUGAGCUAACCGGUACUAAUGAACCGUGAGGCUUAACCU
rnacentral:rRNA from 1 species